AACGAACGCUGGCGGCAUGCCUAACACAUGCAAGUCGAACGAGACCUUCGGGUCUAGUGGCGCACGGGUGCGUAACGCGUGGGAACCUGCCCUUAGGUUCGGAAUAACUCCCCGAAAGGGGUGCUAAUACCGGAUAAUGUCUUCGGACCAAAGAUUUAUCGCCUUUGGAUGGGCCCGCGUUGGAUUAGCUAGUUGGUAGGGUAAAAGCCUACCAAGGCGGCGAUCCAUAGCUGGUCUGAGAGGAUGAUCAGCCACACUGGGACUGGGACACGGCCCAGACUCCUACGGGAGGCAGCAGUGGGGAAUAUUGGACAAUGGGCGAAAGCCUGAUCCAGCAAUGCCGCGUGAGUGAUGAAGGCCUUAGGGUUGUAAAGCUCUUUUACCCGGGAUGAUAAUGACAGUACCGGGAGAAUAAGCUCCGGCUAACUCCGUG
rnacentral:rRNA from 1 species